rnacentral:tRNA from 2 species
CAUUAAGAAGCUAUUAGCACUAACCUUUUAAGUUAGAGAUUGAAAGCUUGGGUCUUUCCUUAAUGA